GACCCUUUCGUCUAGCUGGUCCAGGACACCUCCCUUUCACGGAGGCAACACGGGUUCGAACCCCGUAAGGGUCACCA
rnacentral:tRNA from 1 species